rnacentral:rRNA from 1 species
AGCAAACAGGCUUAGAUACCCUGGUAGUCCACCCCGUAAACGUUGGGAACUAGUUGUGGGGUCCAUUCCACGGAUUCCGUGACGCAGCUAACGCAUUAAGUUCCCCGCCUGGGGAGUACGGCCGCAAGGCUAAAACUCAAAGGAAUUGACGGGGACCCGCACAAGCGGCGGAGCAUGCGGAUUAAUUCGAUGCAACGCGAAGAACCUUACCAAGGCUUGACAUAUACGAGAACGCUGCAGAAAUGUAGAACUCUUUGGACACUCGUAAACAGGUGGUGCAUGGUUGUCGUCAGCUCGUGUCGUGAGAUGUUGGGUUAAGUCCCGCAACGAGCGCAACCCUCGUUCUAUGUUGCCAGCACGUAAUGGUGGGAACUCAUGGGAUACUGCCGGGGUCAACUCGGAGGAAGGUGGGGAUGACGUCAAAUCAUCAUGCCCCUUAUGUCUUGGGCUUCACGCAUGCUACAAUGGCCGGUACAAAGGGCUGCAAUACCGUAAGGUGGAGCGAAUCCCAAAAAGCCGGUCCCAGUUCGGAUUGAGGUCUGCAACUCGACCUCAUGAAGUCGGAGUCGCUAGUAAUCGCAGAUCAGCAACGCUGCGGUGAAUACGUUCCCGGGUCUUGUACACACCGCCCGUCAAGUCAUGAAAGUCGGUAACACCUGAAGCCGGUGGCCCAACCC